AUUGAACGCUGGCGGCAGGCCUAACACAUGCAAGUCGAACGAGUGGCGGACGGGUGAGUAAUGUCUGGGAAACUGGCCGAUGGAGGGGGAUAACUACGUGAAACGGUAGCUAAUACCGCAUACCAUCGGAUGUGCCCAGAUGGGAUUAGCUAGUAGGUGGGGUAACGGCUCACCUAGGCGACGAUCCCUAGCUGGCCUGAGAGGAUGACCGGCCACACUGGAACUGAGACACGGUCCAGACUCCUACGGGAGGCAGCAGUGGGGAAUCUUGGACAAUGGGCGAAAGCCUGAUACAGCAAUGCCGCGUGUAUGAAGAAGGCCUUCGGGUUGUAAAGUACUUUCAUCGGGGAGGCGUUACUCGCAGAAGAAGCCCCGGCUAACUCCGUGCCAGCAGCCGCGGUAAUAC
rnacentral:rRNA from 1 species